GCCACCAUCGUCUAGCGGCUAGGACGCCAGGUUCUCAUCCUGGUAACAGGGGUUCGAUUCCCCUUGGUGGUACUA
rnacentral:tRNA from 1 species